rnacentral:rRNA from 1 species
GGCCGGGGGGGGCGUGCUAUACAUGCAGUCGAACGCGCAGCGAAAGGUGCUUGCACCUUUCAAGCGAGUGGCGAACGGGUGAGUAACACGUGGAUAACCUGCCUCAAGGCUGGGGAUAACAUUUGGAAACAGAUGCUAAUACCGAAUAAAACUUAGUAUCGCAUGAUACAAAGUUGAAAGGCGCUACGGCGUCACCUAGAGAUGGGUCCGCGGUGCAUUAGUUAGUUGGUGGGGUAAAGGCCUACCAAGACAAUGAUGCAUAGCCGAGUUGAGAGACUGAUCGGCCACAUUGGGACUGAGACACGGCCCAAACUCCUACGGGAGGCUGCAGUAGGGAAUCUUCCACAAUGGGCGAAAGCCUGAUGGAGCAACGCCGCGUGUGUGAUGAAGGCUUUAGGGUCGUAAAGCACUGUUGUAUGGGAAGAAAUGCUAGAAUAGGGAAUGAUUCUAGUUCGACGGUACCAUACCAGAAAGGGACGGCUAAAUACGUGCCAGCAGCCGCGGUAAUACGUAUGUCCCGAGCGUUAUCCGGAUUUAUUGGGCGUAAAGCGAGCGCAGACGGUUGAUUAAGUCUGAUGUGAAAGCCCGGAGCUCAACUCCGGAAUGGCAUUGGAAACUGGUUAACUUGAGUGUUGUAGAGGUAAGUGGAACUCCAUGUGUAGCGGUGGAAUGCGUAGAUAUAUGGAAGAACACCAGUGGCGAAGGCGGCUUACUGGACAACAACUGACGUUGAGGCUCGAAAGUGUGGGUAGCAAACAGGAUUAGAUACCCUGGUAGUCCACACCGUAAACGAUGAAUACUAGGUGUUAGGAGGUUUCCGCCUCUUAGUGCCGAAGCUAACGCAUUAAGUAUUCCGCCUGGGGAGUACGACCGCAAGGUUGAAACUCAAAGGAAUUGACGGGGACCCGCACAAGCGGUGGAGCAUGUGGUUUAAUUCGAAGCAACGCGAAGAACCUUACCAGGUCUUGACAUCCUUUGAAGCUUCUAGAGAUAGAAGUGUUCUCUUCGGAGACAAAGUGACAGGUGGUGCAUGGUCGUCGUCAGCUCGUGUCGUGAGAUGUUGGGUUAAGUCCCGCAACGAGCGCAACCCUUAUUGUUAGUUGCCAGCAUUCAGUUGGGCACUCUAGCGAGACUGCCGGUGACAAACCGGAAGAAAGGCGGGGACGACUUCAGAUCAUCAUGCCCCUUAUGACCUGGGCUA